rnacentral:ncRNA from 1 species
CCCCGAAAACCUACGGGUUCCUUCGCAAGGUUCAUCCACGGAGGGUGAUUCAGGGCUUGAGAUCAGGUCGAAAGGUGUAGUUGAUGGACAAUAGGUAAAUAUUCAUGUACUAGCCCUUAUUGGUCCCGAGGGACAGAGGAGGCUAGGUUAGCUGAAAGAUGGUUAUCGGUUCAAGGUUGCAAGGUGACCCUGCUUUUUUCAAGGUAAGAAGGGGUAGAUAAAAUUCCUUGAUCCAAUGUCUGAGUACCAAGCGCUAUAGCGUUGAAGUAACCCAUGCCAUACUCCCAGGAAAAGCUUGAACGACCUUUAACAAAUGGUUACAUGUACCCAAAACUGACACAGGUAGGUAGGUAGAGAAUACCUAGGGGCGUGAGACAACUCUCUCUAAGGAACUCGAAAAAAUAGCCCCGUAACUUCAGGAGAAGGGGUGCCUCCUUAGGAGGUCGUAGUGACUAGGCCCAGGCCACUUUUUACCAAAAACACAGGUCUCCACAAAGUUGUAAGACCAUGUAUGGGGGCUUAUGCCUACCCAGUGCUGGAAGGUUAAGGAAGUUGGUGACCUAAUGACGGGGAAGCCAGCGACCGAAGCCCCAGUGAAUGACGGUCAUAACUAUAAUGGUCCUAAGGUAGAGAAAUUCCUUGUCGGGUAAGUUAUGACCUGCACAAAAGGCGUAACGAUAUGGGCACUGUCUCGGAGAGAGACUCGGUGAAAUAGACAUGUCUAUGAAGAUCCAGACUACUUGCACCUAGACAGAAAGACCCUAUUAAGCUUUAUUGUUCCCUGGGAUUGUCUUUGGGUUCUUCUUGUGCAGCUUAGGUAGAAAGUGAAGAAGGCUCCCUUCUAGGGGGGCCUGAGCCACCAGUGAGAUACCACUCUGGAAGAGCUAGAAUUCUAACCUUGUGUUAGGACCUACGGGCCAAGGGACAGUCUCAGGUAGACAGUUUCUAUGGGGCGUAGGCCUCCCAAAAGGUAACAAAGGUGUGCAAAUAUUUUCUUGGGUCGGAUGGAAAUUGACCCUCGAGUGUAAAGGCAGAAGGGAUCUUGACUUCAAGACCCACCUGUCGAGAAGGGACAAAAUUCAUCCUUAGUGAUCUGACGGUGUUGAGUGGAAGGGUCGUCACUCAACCGAUAAAAUUUACUCUAGGGGUAAUAGGUUGAUCUUCCCUAAGAGUUCACAUCAACGGGAAGGUUUGGCACCUCAAUUUUGGCUCUUCGCCACCUGGGGCGGUAGUACAUUCCAAGGGUUGGGUUGUUCACCCAUUAAAUCGGUACAUGAGAUGGGUUUAGAACUUCAUGACACAAUUUUGUCCAUAUCCGGUGGGGGCGUUAGAGCAUUGAGAGGACCUUUCCCUAGUACAAGAGGACUAGGAAGGAUGCACCUCUGGUGUAUCAGUUAUCUUUCCCAUGGUAGAUGCUGGGUAACCAAGUGCAGAGCAGAUAACUAGUGAAAGAAUAUAAGUAGGAAGCCCACCCCAAGAUGAGUGCUCUCUUAUUCUUACUUCCCUAAG